UGGGGAAUAUUGCACAAUGGGCGAAAGCCUGAUGCAGCAACGCCGCGUGAGUGAUGAAGGCCUUCGGGUUGUAAAGCUCUGUCUUUUGGGACGAUAAUGACGGUACCAAAGGAGGAAGCCACGGCUAACUACGUGCCAGCAGCCGCGGUAAUACGUAGGUGGCAAGCGUUGUCCGGAAUUUACUGGGCGUAAAGGAUGCGUAGGCGGAUUUUUAAGUGAGAUGUGAAAUACCCGGGCUUAACUUGGGUGCUGCAUUUCAAACUGGGAAUCUAGAGUGCGGGAGAGGAAAUGGAAUUCCUAGUGUAGCGGUGAAAUGCGUAGAGAUUAGGAAGAACACCAGUGGCGAAGGCGAUUCUCUGGACCGUAACUGACGCUGAGGCAUGAAAGCGUGGGUAGCAAACAGGAUUAGAUACCCUGGUAGUCCACGCCGUAAACGAUGAGUACUAGGUGUAGGAGGUAUCGACCCCUUCUGUGCCGCAGUUAACACAAU
rnacentral:rRNA from 1 species